rnacentral:rRNA from 1 species
GACGAACGCUGGCGGCGUGCUUAACACAUGCAAGUCGAACGGAAAGGCCCUGCCUUUGUGGGGUGCUCGAGUGGCGAACGGGUGAGUAACACGUGAGUAACCUGCCCUUGACUUUGGGAUAACUUCAGGAAACUGCGGCUAAUACCGGAUAGGAGCUCCUGCUGCAUGUUGGGGGUUGGAAAGUUGCUGCGGUUGGGGAUGGACUCGCGACUUAUCAGCUUGUUGGUGGGGUAGUGGCUUACCAAGGCUUUGACGGGUAGCCGGCCUGAGAGGGUGACCGGCCACCUUGGGACUGAGAUACGGCCCAGAAUCAUACGGGAGGCAGCAGUGGGGAAUAUUGCACAAUGGGCGCAAGCCUGAUGCAGCAACGCCGCGUGCGGGAAGACGUACUUCGGGUUGCAAACCGCUUUCAGCUGGGACGAAGCGUAAGUGACGGUAAUGGAUAAAGAAGUAACGGCUAACUACGUG